UGAUCAAGUGAAAUGAUAUAAUAUCUGUAUCAGAUGAGAUUGUUGGACAUAACUAACAAAAAAAGGGAUUUAUUAUAAUAUCAUUGCAGGUAGCAUGAGAGGGAAAAGAGCAAAAGACUCUAAUGAGUAGAUGCCGCUCAUCUUGCCGGGACAAACCAACAAGAAUUCCUGAAUAAACAAGCAAGCAAAAGCAACGGAGUCCUUUUCUCUUCCUGGCUUUUGGAGCCCUGGAGGAAAAUUUAACCCAGUGUCACUUAUGACGUUCCAUUCAGACUCUCAGAGGGUUUUGGACUCUAAGAGAUUAUCCACAGAGAAAAUGGUGAGCUUCGUGCGACAGACAGACUGAAUUCUGAGCAGCUUUGUCUCCAAAAGAGCCUGAGAAAAUCAGGUUUAUUAUACCCCCAUUCUGACGAGGAGGAGAAAGAGAGGAAGGAGGAGGAGGUGGAGGAGGAGGAGGUGGAGGAGGAGGAGGAGGAGGAGGAGAAGCAGCACUAACAGUCUAUUUCAGAGAUGUUAAAAAAUAAAGAACAGUGUAUCUUAAGAUGGGUGGAAGAUGAUAAGAAAGCCAGUUCCUGCUUUAAAACUGUUCAGAAGCAUUUGAGGUCACAGCACCACCACCAAACAACAACAGCAACAAUGCCAACAUAAGUUAAUUCAUCAAGUGAAAGGUAGGAGGGAAGGCAACUGUUUCAAGAUAGACACCAAUUUUCACAAAUAUCUUGGACUAACAUCUCAUAAUUCAAAGUUGCAAAUCUUGGAAUAUCAUCUGAUGAAAGGCCUAAACUCAAGAUUGUCAGAAUUUCUUCAGAUCUCCCCAAGUCCUAACUUCAAGACUGCAAAGUCUCUUCUGAUUCACUACCUGGUGCUUAGUUUUUUACUAUAAGAAGAGGUUUGAAAUCUCCUCUCCUUGUCACAGUGUCAGAAGCCUGAAUUCUGACUGUGGUCCUCGCUAGCUAGAUUAUUUCUGCCACGUGGUGUCUGGAAUGAAGUUUGUUUCCAGUUAAUAGUCUUCAGUGGUUUGUUCCCCAUUAUUUGCACAUCGUCAGGACCCAAUACUAGAACUAAUAGAGACCCAGGAAGAUGGCAUGGUAAGGUGGGAUGUGAUCUAGUGUUUGAGGUCUGCACUUGGUUGGAGUCGGGCAGGGGAAAAAGGAUCUUAGACUAGCAUACUGUGGAGUCAGAUCCAGUAAUGCUGUGCAUGAAAAGAAAGGACUUGUGGAGCCUGGAUACCAAGCUUGUAUUGGAUGGUUAGUUCUGAAACACCUAUAGGGGAAGCAUAAAGGAAAAUAAAAACCAUUCAAGUUUUUCAUAAUCCCAUUUUUUGUCACCUAUACAGAGCUAUAUAAUCAACAAACAUUAAGCAGCUGUAAUGUGCCAGAUUCUAAAUAAUAAGUAAUACACUAUCACGUGGAACAGACAAAAUAAAGAGACAAUCAUAAUAUAUCUGUCACCGUGAAAGUGAUUGGUUGAGCAACUAUUAGUUGCCAGGUACUAUGCAAGUAACCCAUUAUAUCUUGUAUGUAAGAACAGAAGUUUAUUUUAGAAAUAAGAAACCAUGAAACUUAGUGAUGUGGAGUUUUCUCUGCACCUUUUUAAAAAUACUGUUAAAAAUGGAAUUUGUACUUAUGGUAUUUCAUUGACUACCUAAAUUUUUCUUAUUCUUUUUCUUUUAUUAAUUAAAUUUCUUUCCAGCUUCCCUUCCUCCUUCAGUUCCCCCAACCCACUUCUCCUCUGCCCAACCCUCAAUCCUCUUCCCUGUUUCUGUUCCAAUCAAAAUUUCCACUUCCUCCCCUCCUCCCACUUCCCUCCUGUUCCCCCCACACCCCUACCCCCUCUAGUCCCAAGAGAGGGCAAGGCACCCUGCCCUGUGAAAAGUCCAAGGCCCUCCCAGCCACAUCUAGGCCUAGGAAGGUAUGCAUCCAAAGAGAAUAGGAUGCCAAAAAGCCAGCACAUGCAGUGGAGAAAAAUCCCAGUGCCACUACCAUUGGCCCCCCAGUCCACCCUAAUUGUCAGCCACAUUCAGAGGGUCCAGUUUGAUCCCAUGCUUGUUCAGGCCCAGUCCAGCUAGAGUUGGUGAGCUCCCAUUAGCUCAGGCAUACUGUCUCAGUGGAUGAACCAACCCCUUGUGGUCCUGACUUUCUUGCUCAUAUUCUUCCUCCUUACAUCUUCAACUCGACCUUGAGAGCUCAGUCCAGUGAUCCGAUGUGAGUCUCUGUAUCUAACUCCAUGGUGAUAUUCAAGAUAGUCAUCAGUCUGACUAAGGGACAAGGCCAGUUCAGGUACCCUUUCCUCUACUUCCCAGGGUCCUAGCUGGGGUCAUCCCCAUGGACUCCUGGAAACCCUUCCAGAGCCAAGCCACUUACCAACCCCAAAAUGGCUCCCUCAAUUAAGAUAUCUUCUUCCCUGCUCCCAUAUCCAUCCUUCCUCCAUUUCAACAAUCCUACACCCCCAAGCUCUACUCAACCCUCCCCUUCUCUCCUCUCUCUUCCCCUCUCCCCUUCCUCCAACUCCCAUGCUCCCAACUUUUGCCUGGUGAUCUUGUCUGCUUCCAAUUUCCAGGAGAAUCUAUAUAUGUUUUUCUUUGGGUUCACCUUAUUACUUAGCUUCUCUAGGAUCAUGAACUAUAGGCUCAAUGUCUUUUGUUUAUGGCUAGAAUCUGCUAAUGAGUGAGUAUAUACCAUAUUCAUAUUUUUGGGUCUGGGUUAUCUCACUCAGGAUAGCGUUUUCUACUUCCAUCCGUUUGCGUGCAAAAUUUAAGAUACAUUGACUACCUAAAUUAUGCAAAGACAUAAUUAUACAGGAAGCAAGAUUCAGGAAAAUGAAUUUGGGUCACUUCCUGCACUUAGGUGUGUAGUAUUCUCUUCAAUUGUCUCUUUCCCUUAAAGCCUGUGCUUAAAUAUAUUU